rnacentral:lncRNA from 1 species
AUGAUCCUAGUUGAUUCCAAACUGCUUUCUAUAUUCAGUGCUCUAGAGUCGUGGGGGAGAGCCGUGCGGGCCCUGCGCAGGGCCAUGCAGGAGCGGGAGACCUGGAGGGCGACAGAGAGCCGUUUGUUGGCCACCCCGGGACUGGGAGUCGGGGCGGCCAUGCGGACUUUGCACCCCUCUGACGAUGACGUGUCCUCUCAAUCGAACCCCGACCCGCCCACGGAGGGACAGAAACGUGCUAAAUCCUUCUGGGGUGGGUUAAUCGAGGAGGCCAGGGCUGCCGCGGGGAAAUCAGAGCCUGAGGAAGUUUGGGCUCGACCGCCCCCCUAUGCGCCCCAAGAUGACGCCGAGCCAGGAAAAGGAGGGCGGAGGGAAGACGCCCUCGGCGGGAACAUCGAGGAGGUGUUAGAUAAAGGCGGUGGGAGCGACCGGGAAGGUGAGGGGAGCGUGAGUGAAGGGUGGAAAGCCAAUCAGAGCGGCCGUCUGAAGAAAUGCCGCUGUGGGGCGAACAUCCCGCUGGGCAGAGGGCGGGACGAACCAAGAGGCAGGGAACGGCCUGCCCGCAAGGGGGGCGGGCGGGGCCGGAGCCUAACAAAAAGGUACGGGAAACCGGAAGUGGCCGCUCAGUCGGGCUCUGGCUCCGGAUCAGACAGUAGCUGCGACGAGUGGUUCGCAAUUGACUUAAACUCGGAGGAGGGAAUGAAUGCGAACAGAGUUAAGAGCCGAAAUGUUCCCAUCCAAAUUAAAGAGAAACCGCGAGGGGGAGAAAUCCCUCUUACAGACUGGAGGACAAUAAAGAUCGCAUGCGCCGACUGGGCCCCAUCGGCCACACUAGCGUUCCCGGUCCGGGUGGUGGAUGGGGGACAGAGGGUCCACUCGCCGAUAAGCCCUAGGGAUAUACAAGCAAUUGUUAAGGCAGUUGCAGAUAAAGGGCUUAACUCAGCUAUGGUCUCCACCCUUAUAGAUGGUGUUUUUGGGGGAGACGAUAUGCUCCCAUUUGACCUAAAACAAACCUGUAGACUAAUUUUUGACGGAGCAGGGAUGAUUGUUUUUAAACAAGAAUGGGAAGAUAACUGUGCAAGACAACUAACUAGCUCAACUAACUGGGGCAGAUCACCCGCUACAUGGUUCCAGCCUGCAGCGGCUGAUGGGUACAGACCCAACAAUGAUUACCUCCCAAGCACAGGCCCUGGGCCUCCAUCCCCAUGA